rnacentral:lncRNA from 1 species
UUUAUGCCCUUGACCUUGACUCACCAUGGGCUGCUGGGGUGUCGGGAGAAGCCACACCCAACAUGCCCAUUAGCAGAGGCUGCUGCUGAUGUGGCAGCUGCUCCCUACCACCCGCCCUGGCUCCCCAGCUGCAGGUUGCACACCCUCAGCCUGAGAAUGUAAAAUAGGGCAGUGCCCAGCUGGGGAGGUAGAGGAAAGUGCUAGAGUACAUGGUCCGUGUGUGGCCUAGCUCAUUCCAUGUCAGCAUUUGGUGUUACUCCUGUCCAAAUUCUGUUUGCAGACUUGUUUCAUGAUGAUGCUCUGGAAUGCUUGGGGACUUUGGGUGGAGGAGGAUGUUACUUCAUUUUAUAAAGAGGAAGGGGCCUGGGAGACUUGGGAAAAUGUUUCUGGAGAGGCUUUCAGAGUGGCUGGAAAAGGCUCUUGUUGCUGUAAUUUAGAGAGGAGCUCUGUGUCCUUGGCCAGUCAAGUAAGUUCCUGGAUCUUUGGCAAAGCCAGAGGAAGAAAGGAGCUACCUGCCCUUUCCUGGGCAUGCUUGGUGACUCAGAUUGAUCUUGGAGUGUGCAGUGGCCCUUCUACCCUGCACCUGACCUCAUGAUCCCCUCCACCUGCACUGGUGUGCAUUACUGAAGCAAGGGUCCUGUGGACAUCUUGCAUUUUGGGCACUGCUAGGGGGUCUGGGCUGCUUGGAAGGAGCCAUGGCCUAGGGUUCAGGGAACUAGACUCUAUCCCAGUUGGGUUCAGACUGCUGUGACUGUGGACACGAUGCUCCUUGUUCUGGGCUCCAGUUUUCCCAUUUGUGAGAUGAGGCAACUUCCAAUGCUUCUCUAGGCCCUGCACGUAAGUGAUUUUUCCAGUUCAAAGUCAAGACAGGUAAAAGGGCAUUCAUCAUUGUGCCUCAUAUCAGGUUUUGAUGAAUAUAUGUGUGUGUGUGUGUGUGUGUGUGUGUGUGUGUGUAGAGGGAUGGACAGGAUGCUGUUUAUUUUCCCUUUCUUGGAAAUGGACCUUCUGUCCCUUCCAUUUGGACACCACAGUGGAAGCUGGUGGCCUGGAAGGAAGGAUUAGGUCAUGGACAUUUGAACAGGUGCCUUGGGCAUGAUGUAUAGAUGCAGUCAUAUAUACCUUGCUGGGGUGGGGUGCCACCUCCAGUGGCCAGCUCCAGAUCCAAGGAGCAGCCCCCUGGGGAUGGACCCCAUUCAUUCAUCAUGACUCCCAACAGUUUUCAUUGUGGAAGAAGAAACUUUGGCAUUAUAGAGACAUCAUCACAAAACAGUAAAAACAAAAUCAACCCUGAACCCCAUGCACUGUGCUGCUUCCUGAGCCUGGCCCUGCAUCCUCAUAGAGGUGCCGGGUUCCUAUUGGUUAGUUGGUUGUUUUUCCGUCUGAGUGAAUUUUUGCCAGUCUUGUGAGCAGAUGUACCUGAUGUAUUCUCAAUGUUCCAAGAGGUUCUGGCCUUCAGGGUCACAGGCAGUAGGGGGACAGCAUAAGGUCUAUGUAAAACCCUUCCCUCUCUGACCCUCUGUUUUCAAAUCUGUAAAAUGGGCAAUAAGACUAGAUGAUUUGUAUAUAGCCCAAUGCAUCUCUGGAACUCUGUCUAAACACCAGCCAUCUACUUGGAAUGGGCCCCAGGACUGUGGUAUUUGCCUGGGCCAGGAAAGGAUAAGAAAUCCUGUCAUGUGAAGACAGCUUGAGAGGCUUGAGAAAAGUGGGGCUGGGGAGAAGCAGGCUUGUCAGACUCCACCCCUGUUGAUGAUCAUUCCUGGGAAGGGGUUUCUCGUUCUAUGCAAUCCUAAAGGACGAAACUCACCCAUGGGAGGCCGAAUUCUCCUUGGGAUGAAGAAAUUUCUCUUUCCCUGUCAUGAGUGUCCAGCCAGGGAGCAGGGAGGCAGUGUCAGGGAGGGACUCUCAUCCUGGAGGAAAUGGGAUUCCAAGUCAAGGAUGCUGAGGCUGUCAGGGAGCCAGAGAGGGGGGUCCAAGUGCGGGAUGUGGGUGGCUCUGUGGUUCAGUGGCUCUGUGGUAGUUCCUAGCACUGCAGACUUCAUGACUCCCCACUUAAGUCCAAGUCACAUUGUCUAUCCCAGUGUGUAGCUCUGUCACCCUGCUUGACACAUCCAGUGGCCUACAGCGACUCUUCUCUAACCCCACCCCCUCCAAGCUGGGUUCUUUGUGGAAGAAGGACAGGGAGCUAGAGCCAAGCCCUAGGCUUGAGAGACACCUGCAUCUAUAAUCCCCGCCAAGGAUGCCCACUCACCUCUCUCAUCUGAUCCUCACUCUUUGUGGAAGGGAAAGCUCAAAGGGACUCUCUCUCUCUCUCUCUUUUUUUUUUUUUUUGAGUAGUACCCUUGCCCUCUUCAUGGCCACUUCAAAGUGAAGCCAGCAAAGUGAUAAUACUUUAUCAUUUAGUAUUAUCAUAAAGUAUUAAUACUUUGUCAUAAAGUCCUCCUUGAGCCCAGGGACCAUGGAAGUCAGCUAGAAGAGCCCUGAGCAAGGAGCAAGGACUUGGGCUUCUCCACGCUUUGCUCCUGGCUUGUUUGACCUUGACUCAUUCCCCAUAUGUCUUUGAGGAGGCUCACAAAAUACUAAAGCUGGGAGGAAACUUGGAGAUCUAUAGGUCAAACCUCCCCAUUGGGCUGAUGAGAAAAUACACGCAGGCCUAGCAUGGUGCCUGCCACCAUGGUGGGAUCCAGUAUGUUUUAUAAAUCUGAAUGAGUAAAUGGCUCACCAAUUUAUGCAUAGCCCUGCACAUGAGCAGAAUGUGACACUCAAAGCAUCCAUGCAGUACGCAUGUAACCUUGCACAGGAGUGGGGCUCUGGUGACCGAAGGUUGUCCAGGACUCUUGCAGGAGAAGCAAUGGAGUCAGUGUGGUGUGGGGAGACCUACUUUUUAACCUGGGCUUAGCCACCUGCUCUGUGAUCCAGGGCUUACCUUCUUUGGGCCUCGGCCUCCUAAUCUGGGUAAUGGGGAGGACUUCAUUGGCAUUGUUAGUCCCACAGGCCAAGGAUAAGGUUGAAAUGAGACGGCUUGUGUGUGAAAAGAUUUUGGAAAUUACACAGAUGUGGGCUUGUUAUUGGGAUGAAGACUGCUGGAAGGGACUCCUUGCUGUUUAUCUACUGCUUUGAGCCCUCCUAAGUUAACCUGUGCCUCAUUUGUAAAACCACCAGCAUCAGGAGUAAGGGGGAGGCCAGAGGGCUCAGAUGGACACAGAAUUCUAGCUUUACCUGCAUCCGCUGAUUCAGUUUUCUGUUGGGAUCAGAGUGAGGAUACUUCCAUAUGGGUGAUAGCAGCCAUGCCCCUGGGAGUCAACUUCAAGGAUCUGGGACAUUUUGGUGUGCCCAUUCCUUCUUUUCCUGAACUCACAGUCUUGGGGUGUUUCUGCACUUGGCUAUGUGUGUCUUGUCUGAUGUCUGUCUUCUGUAGCUUUGCCUCUAUCAGGGCUGGAGUGGUGCAGCCCCUGGCAUCUCAGACAUGGUUCCUGCCUCACUUGUGGGAGCUGGACCAGCCUGGGUUUCAUCUCCCACAGUAAAGCUAAGUAAGCCCCACAGACCUUACUGCUACUGCUGCUGCCAUUAAUGCUGUGCUCACUAUCUUGUCCAGGAUUUUAAGGAUGUCAGACUGCUGUAGAUGACUCAAUAAAUGUUUUGCCAUUUUU